CACUCCUGCGGGAGGCAGCAGUGGGGAAUAUUGGACAAUGGGCGCAAGCCUGAUCCAGCCAUGCCGCGUGAGUGAUGAAGGCCCUAGGGUUGUAAAGCUCUUUCACCGGUGAAGAUAAUGACGGUAACCGGAGAAGAAGCCCCGGCUAACUUCGUGCCAGCAGCCGCGGUAAUACGAAGGGGGCUAGCGUUGUUCGGAUUUACUGGGCGUAAAGCGCACGUAGGCGGACUAUUAAGUCAGGGGUGAAAUCCCGGGGCUCAACCCCGGAACUGCCGUUGAUACUGGUAGUCUUGAGUUCGAGAGAGGUGAGUGGAAUUCCGAGUGUAGAGGUGAAAUUCGUAGAUAUUCGGAGGAACACCAGUGGCGAAGGCGGCUCACUGGCUCGAUACUGACGCUGAGGUGCGAAAGCGUGGGGAGCAAACAGGAUUAGAUACCCCAGUAGUCCCAUGA
rnacentral:rRNA from 1 species